rnacentral:rRNA from 14 species
AACUCAGCGAAAUUGAAUUCUCCGUGAAGAUGCGGAGUACCCGCGGUCAGACGGAAAGACCCCGUGCACCUUUACUCCAGCUUUGCAGUGGUGCCAGGGUUCUCAUGUGUAGGAUAGGUGGGAGGCUAUGAAGCCCGGGCGCCAGCUCGGGUGGAGCCAUCCUUGAAAUACCACCCUUGAGAUCUCUGGCAUCUAACCGCGCUCCCUGAACCGGGAGCCGGGACCCUGCAUGGCGGGGAGUUUGACUGGGGCGGUCGCCUCCCAAAGAGUAACGGAGGCGCGCGAUGGUUGGCUCAGAGCGGUCGGAAAUCGCUCGACGAGUGCAAUGGCAUAAGCCAGCCUGACUGCGAGACCGACAAGUCGAGCAGAGACGAAAGUCGGCCAUAGUGAUCCGGUGGUCCCGCGUGGAAGGGCCAUCGCUCAACGGAUAAAAGGUACGCCGGGGAUAACAGGCUGAUCUCCCCCAAGAGUCCACAUCGACGGGGAGGUUUGGCACCUCGAUGUCG